UGCGUAGGCGGAUCAAUAAGUCAGUGGUGAAAUCUCUCGGCUCAACCGGGAAACUGCCAUUGAUACUGUUGAUCUUGAGUUCGGUUGAGGUAGGCGGUAUGUGUAAUGUAGCGGUGAAAUGCUUAGAUAUUACACAGAACACCAAUUGCGUAGGCAGCUUACUAGACCGACACUGACGCUGAGGCACGAAAGCGUGGGGAGCGAACAGGAUUAGAUACCCUGGUAGUCC
rnacentral:rRNA from 1 species